ACUCCUACGGGAGGCAGCAGUGGGGAAUAUUGCACAAUGGGGAAACCCUGAUGCAGCCAUGCCGCGUGUGUGAAGAAGGCCUUCGGUUGUAAAGCACUUUCAGUAGGGAGGAAGGUAGUGUAGUUAACACCUGCAUUAUUUGACGUUACCUACAGAAGAAGCACCGGCUAACUCCGUGCCAGCAGCCGCGGUAAUACGGAGGGUGCGAGCGUUAAUCGGAAUUACUGGGCGUAAAGCGCAUGCAGGCGGCCUGUUAAGUCAGAUGUGAAAAGCCCGGGGCUUAAACUCGGGAAUUAGCGAUUUGAAACUGGCAGGCUAGAGUCUUGUAGAGGGGGGUAGAAUUUCGAGGUG
rnacentral:rRNA from 1 species